rnacentral:rRNA from 1 species
UUUUGCCCCAUAUUUCUACGGGAAGCAGCAGUGAGGAAUUUUUCACAAUGGACGAAAGUCUGAUGGAGCAAUACCAUGUGAACGAUGAAGGUCUUCUGAUUGUAAAGUUCUUUUAUUUAGGAAAAAAAGCUUGAGAGGAAAUGAUUAAGCCUUGAUUGUACUAAAUGAAUAAGUGACAGCUAACUAUGUGCCAGCAGCUGCGGUAAAACAUAGGUCACGAGCAUUAUCCGGAUUUAUUGGGCGUAAAGGAAGCGUAGGCGGACAAAUUGAUCUAUUGUUAAAGGCACUUGCUCAACGAGUUGUUUGUGAUAGAUAUCGUUUGUCUAGAAUUAGUUAGGAGAUACUGGAAUUCAAUGUGUAGCGGUGGAAUGCGUAGAUAUAUUGAGGAACACCAGAGGCUAAGGCGAGUAUCUAGGACAUAAUUGACGCUGAGGCUUGAAAGCGUGGGGAGCAAAUGGGAUUAGAUACCCCAGUAGUCCACGCCGUAAACGAUGGGUAUUAGGUAUUUGGUUUAGGACUGAGUGCUGUAGCUAACGCGUUAAAUACCCCGCCUGGGUAGUAUAUAUGCAAAUAGACUCAGAU